rnacentral:tRNA from 1 species
GUGGCCGUAGCUCAGUCAGGUAGAGCAUCGGAUUGUGGCUCCGAAGGUCGCGGGUUCGAGCCCCGUCGGUCACCCCC